AGUGAACGCUGGCGGUAGACCUAACACAUGCAAGUCGAACGGCAGCACAGUAAGAGCUUGCUCUUACGGGUGGCGAGUGGCGGACGGGUGAGGAAUACAUCGGAAUCUACUUUUUCGUGGGGGAUAACGUAGGGAAACUUACGCUAAUACCGCAUACGACCUACGGGUGAAAGCAGGGGAUCUUCGGACCUUGCGCGAUUGAAUGAGCCGAUGUCGGAUUAGCUAGUUGGCGGGGUAAAGGCCCACCAAGGCGACGAUCCGUAGCUGGUCUGAGAGGAGGAUCAGCCACACUGGAACUGAGACACGGUCCAGACUCCUACGGGAGGCAGCAGUGGGGAAUAUUGGACAAUGGGCGCAAGCCUGAUCCAGCCAUACCGCGUGGGUGAAGAAGGCCUUCGGGUUGUAAAGCCCUUUUGUUGGGAAAGAAAAGCAGCAGGUUAAUACCCCGCUGUUCUGACGGUACCCAAAGAAUAAGCACCGGCUAACUUCGUG
rnacentral:rRNA from 1 species